CGGACUGGUGAGUAACGCGUGAGGAACCUGCCUUUCGGAGGGGGACAACAGUUGGAAACGACUGCUAAUACCGCAUGAUACAUUUGGGCCGCAUGGUCUGAAUGUCAAAGAUUUAUCGCCGAAAGAUGGCCUCGCGUCUGAUUAGCUAGUUGGUGGGGUAACGGCCCACCAAGGCGACGAUCAGUAGCCGGACUGAGAGGUUGGCCGGCCACAUUGGGACUGAGAUACGGCCCAGACUCCUACGGAAGGCAGCAG
rnacentral:rRNA from 1 species